rnacentral:rRNA from 1 species
CCUGGCGGCACUAGCGCGGUGGUCCCACCUGAUCCCAUGCCGAACUCAGAAGUGAAACGCCGUAGCGCCGAUGGUAGUGUGGGGUCUCCCA